rnacentral:rRNA from 1 species
GACGAACGCUGGCGGCGUGCCUAAUACAUGCAAGUUGAGCGCUGAAGGAUGGUACUUGUACCAACUGGAUGAGCAGCGAACGGGUGAGUAACGCGUGGGUAAUCUGCCUUUGAGCGGGGGACAACAUUUGGAAACGAAUGCUAAUACCGCAUAAAAACUUUAAACACAAGUUUUAAGUUUGAAAGAUGCAAUUGCAUCACUCAAAGAUGAUCCCGCGUUGUAUUAGCUAGUUGGUGAGGUAAAGGCUCACCAAGGCGAAGAUACAUAGGCGACCUGAGAGGGUGAUUGGCCACAUUGGGACUGAGACACGGCCCAAACUCCUACGGGAGGCAGCAGUAGGGAAUCUUCGGCAAUGGACGAAAGUCUGACCGAGCAACGCCGCGUGAGUGAAGGAGGUUUUCGGAUCGUAAAACUCUGUUGGUAGAGAAGGACGUUGGUGAGAGUGGAAAGCUCAUCAAGUGACGGUAACUACCCAGAAAGGGACGGCUAACUACGUG